GCUGCAGGUGGCAAAAGAAUCCUGAAAGGCAUGCUUUCAUUCUCCUCCUCUGGCUCUGCAAUGACUAUUUCAGUGUGGAAGCAGUUUGCAAAUCAUGGUGCUGCCCAGGUGGCAAGGGCAUUGCUUCUGAGAGUUUCCUGAAUCUCAUGCAAAGGACAGUCUUUUUUGAAGACCUGGGUGCUGGGUUCAACCUGAUGACUCUUCUUGGGACAACAGAAGAAAAUGAA